GGCUCAGGAUGAACGCUGGCGGCUGCUUAACACAUGCAAGUCGAACGAUGAAGCCCAGCUUGCUGGGUGGAUUAGUGGCGAACGGGUGAGUAACACGUGAGUAACCUGCCCUUAAGUCUGGGAUAAGCCUGGGAAACUGGGUCUAAUACCGGAUAGGAGCGUCCACCGCAUGGUGGGUGUUGGAAAGAUUUAUCGGUUUUGGAUGGACUCGCGGCCUAUCAGCUUGUUGGUGAGGUAAUGGCUCACCAAGGCGACGACCGG
rnacentral:rRNA from 1 species